rnacentral:rRNA from 1 species
UACGUAGGGUGCAAGCGUUAAUCGGAAUUACUGGGCGUAAAGCGUGCGUAGGCGGUUCGUUAAGUCUGUUGUGAAAGCCCCGGGCUCAACCUGGGAAUGGCAAUGGAUACUGGCGAGCUAGAGUGUGUCAGAGGAUGGUGGAAUUCCCGGUGUAGCGGUGAAAUGCGUAGAGAUCGGGAGGAACAUCAGUGGCGAAGGCGGCCAUCGUGGGACAACACUGACGCUGAGGCACGAAAGCGUGGGGAGCAAACAGG